GCCUGGCUGGCUCAGUCCGAAGAGCAUGUGGCUCUUAAUCUCAGGGUCGUGACUUCAAGCCUCACGUUGGGCA
rnacentral:tRNA from 1 species